rnacentral:rRNA from 1 species
UACAGAGGGUGCGAGCGUUUAAUCGGAAUUACUGGGCGUAAAGCGCGCGUAGGCGGCUUUGCAAGUCGGGUGUGAAAUCCCCAGGCUUAACCUGGGAACUGCAUUCGAGACUGCAUUGCUAGAGUAUGGGAGAGGGAAGUGGAAUUUCCGGUGUAGCGGUGAAAUGCGUAGAUAUGUGGAGGAACACCGAUGGCGAAGGCAGCCCCCCUGGGCUAACACUGACGCUCAUGCACGAAAGCGUGGGGAGCAAACAGG